rnacentral:lncRNA from 1 species
UUGUGUAGUGUGUCAUGGGUAAUGAAUUUAUGUAUAUACAAACUUGUUCUUCUGAUGUUUAUACGGGUAAGAGGAUGAAAAGACCAAACAAACGAAAGAUAACUAACACAAAGUGGCGUGGUCUUGUGAUCAGGUUGUAGGGGAUACUCAUUACGCGGUUCAUACGGUGCCCUUCUUCUAUGCUGUGUCCGCCCGUGAGAUCUUCAAUUUUGAAAAUUUCAACCCUCCAUCCCGUCUUCUUAUGCAGUCAGUUUCACUGCAACUUCCGACGGUCUAAACUGUCUGCAAAUGAUUAUCUUGCGUUCCUUUCAAGUGUUUCUCAACUUCUGCACAGAAAAUAUGAAGAAUUUGUAUUAUAGUAUUAGUAUCACAUGUUUUAUCCACUCAAAAGAUCACCAAUAAACAAAAGAAUCACAGAAGUUAGCGCUUUAGCGUAUGAGUGGGCAAAAAUAUUCUACACACCAAGUUUUCUCUAAAAUAAGCAAUUAAUUACAAAAAUCAUCAAAACUAUAUGAUAAAAGUGAGAGGUCCUAGAAUGCCAUCCAAAAAAAAAGCUUCCUUGCAGUCGAAAGUUGUUUUAAUGCAUCCAUUUUCACAAAGAGAUCUGAAAAAUUAGAAUACCGGGCACAAAUACUUUAAACAUAAUAAUAUAGUCUCCGGCUCCAACCUGAUUAUCCAUGGAUUCCUCUUAAAAAAAAAUACUACUAAUCACGGUGAAAAACAAAGUUGUAGUCACGUGUUUAACGUAGCGGGAUCAUUCGAGAGCUGAUCUUGAUAUACGAAGGCAACAAAAAUACCUAAGAAACUGGCUUAGAUUAGCUGAGAAGAUAACACUCGAAUACAACGAAAUAAGUUUAUAUUAUAAACCAACAAAAAAAACAAACCUGAAGAAAAGUUUGCAUGCGUUUUCUAGCUUUAGUAACCGCAUUUGGAUGCAGAGCCAGACCAUUCCGCAGCGGAUACACCUUUUGCCACAGAGCUCGGUUAACAGACUCAUACCAGGAGCUCUUACCACUGUAAAAUGAAAGAAUCAAGACAACAAUUAAAGUCAAGUCUCGUUUCAGACAAAAGUUUAUGUAAUUAUUAACAGAAUAUAUAUAUACCCAACAAAAUGAGUCUUUUGGCUCCCAAAUCGCAAUCUUCCAAGAAGGUCCGAACUGUCCUUUCACUCGUGGAUGCUGCUAUGCUAGCUUCUUCCAGCUCUUAUAUUGAACCUGUAUUCCAAUUUGGUACAUCGCCACUUAAAUAAAUUUGAUGUAUUUGAUGAAGAAUCUCCAUAGAUUGUGGGCAUAUAGCCCUUUUGUUAAAUCAUCGAUCAUUGCAGCUUUUUCUCUGACCCAAAAGUUAGUUGCAGAGUGAGUCAACCUCACUCAUUUGGUUUCUCUAUGCCAAUACUUUGUCCUGCCAUCCCUUCAAUUGGUUGCAUGUGUUUUGAAAACCAACUUCUAUUUAUUUGCUUUCGUUCUGGCGAGUUCAGUCCUAUUGGAAAUGGAGAAUCUUGCGGGUGUUGUUUCUGACUUUUAACCCCGAAAUGAAGAACAAACAGUUUGGAAAAAGUAAAGAUACAGCGCAAUCUCAAGAAGAAACCUCACAGUAGAAACCUCACAGUCACAUCAACAACUCAUAAAAACUCAGUCUAAAACAUACAUACUUUUAUCUACGCAAAAAAAAAAUAUACAUAUUUUAUAGGUAGUAGCAGCCAUACAUAAGAACCAUUCAGCAGUUUGGGUUGAGAUGGCGUUAGGAACGUGAAGAGUCAAAGAUUUAGGAGUUAAAAUAUAGUAGAGUGGAUAAGUUAGGCGAUGUACCUACAUAGGAGAAUUGAGAAAGUAUGCGUUAAGCUCUUCACAGAUUCAAUUUCCUUGACACAUCAAUACUUCCUGCUUCCAAUGCCACACAACCUGCGGUGGGUGAUAAAUAUGAUGACUGUGAGGUGUGUAAGAGGCACGAAGCAAAUGUGCUACAACUGCCUCUCGAGAACGACCAGAUUUCAAAUUUGGGGAUUCGCCAUUGUUGGAGCUUGUGUUUGAAAGCUAAAGAGAGCAAUGAAGAAGAUGAGGCGAUGAGAUAUGUAGAGGUCUGCAUCUCUAUUUUAAAGAUCAAAGACUUGGAACAACACAUGAGGGGAUACUUAAUUAUCACGUAGUUAGAACAAAAUGAUUGAAGGACAUAAUUGUUAAAUGUUGUGAAGGUGGAGGCGAGGCGUUAGAAUGGUGGACAGAGGAAUGUGGGGCGGCGAGGCUGAAGAGAUUUGGAUAAAAAAUUUACUGGUUCAAUCAAGGUGUAAGCCCGUUAUGUUGUCUCGUGUGAGAAAAGGAGAAACAUAGGAGUGAUGUGUGGC